AAAAAAAUAAUGUUAUAAAAUAAAUUAAAAUAUGGAAAAAAGAUUCCUUUUUAAUUUCCUUUUCCCAUCCAUAAGGAAAACGAUAUUAUAUACGCGAUAUAAGUUCAAAUUUCACUCAACUCGGUCGAUAAAAGUUGCAUGGUAAAAGUGUCAGCGAUAAUAUUCAAAUUAAUCGUAGGCGGAAGACCGUUAUAAAAAGGGGGGGGUGGAAGAAAAAGAACAACAGUGAGGUGGAAACACAGUGUCGCUAAUGAGUUAACAAAUCGAUUCGAACUCCGGCCAGUUCGGGCGAACUCUGUGUAACUGCACCGAGAGAAAUUGAUGGAGACGUUCUGGGAAGUGACAUUUCGCCAACUCGAAAUUUCCCUUCGUCAGCUAUUCACACGAGCACGUGUAUUCCGCAUGUACAUGUGUACAUAUACGUACGGGUGCACAUUUACGUGCAAAGCACACGCGGGAAGAAAGAAAAUGUAGUGGCGGAAUGGGACAUGAGAAAUCGAUUCGGCCGGAUUUUUUUUUGACCACGGAUUUAACUGAAUUAAUUUAAUUCGUUUAGGAAAAGGGAUUAUAAUGAGAUUAUUUUAAAUUGGAAUUUUAACAAGGAGAGUUUUACCAAAGAAAUUUCUCUUUUAAUUGGAAGUUUGUUGUGUUUAAUAACUGCUUAUUAUUAUUGUUAUUUUGUUCGAUAUAUUAUUUAUAAUAAAGUAAUAUAACAAUAAAAACUAUAUUAUUGAA